rnacentral:rRNA from 1 species
AACGAACUCUGGCGGCAGGCUUAACACAUGCAAGUCGAACGCCCCGCAAGGGGAGUGGCAGACGGGUGAGUAACGCGUGGGAACAUACCCUUUUCUACGGAAUAGCUCUGGAAACUGGAAUUAAUACCGUAUACGCCCUACGGGGGAAAGAUUUAUCGGGGAAGGAUUGGCCCGCGUUGGAUUAGCUAGUUGGUGGGGUAAAGGCCUACCAAGGCGACGAUCCAUAGCUGGUCUGAGAGGAUGAUCAGCCACAUUGGGACUGAGACACGGCCCAAACUCCUACGGGAGGCAGCAGUGGGGAAUAUUGGACAAUGGGCGCAAGCCUGAUCCAGCCAUGCCGCGUGAGUGAUGAAGGCCUUAGGGUUGUAAAGCUCUUUCACCGAUGAAGAUAAUGACGGUAGUCGGAGAAGAAGCCCCGGCUAACUUCGUGCCAGCAGCCGCCGUAA